UGGGGAAUAUUGGACAAUGGGGGCAACCCUGAUCCAGCCAUGCCGCGUGUGUGAAGAAGGCCUUUGGUUGUAAAGCACUUUAAGCAGUGAAGAAGACUCCAUGGUUAAUACCCAUGGACGAUGACAUUAGCUGCAGAAUAAGCACCGGCUAACUCUGUGCCAGCAGCCGCGGUAAUACAGAGGGUGCAAGCGUUAAUCGGAAUUACUGGGCGUAAAGCGAGCGUAGGUGGCUUGAUAAGUCAGAUGUGAAAGCCCCGGGCUUAACCUGGGAACGGCAUCUGAUACUGUUAGGCUAGAGUAGGUGAGAGGAAGGUAGAAUUCCAGGUGUAGCGGUGAAAUGCGUAGAGAUCUGGAGGAAUACCGAUGGCGAAGGCAGCCUUCUGGCAUCAUACUGACACUGAGGUUCGAAAGCGUGGGUAGCAAACA
rnacentral:rRNA from 1 species